rnacentral:rRNA from 1 species
AACGAACGCUGGCGGCAGGCCUAACACAUGCAAGUCGAACGCACCGCAAGGUGAGUGGCGCACGGGUGAGUAACACGUGGGAAUGUACCCUUUGGUUCGGAAUAACGUUUGGAAACGAACGCUAAUACCGGAUGAGCCCUGUGGGGAAAGAUUUAUCGCCAAAGGAGCAGCCCGCGUCUGAUUAGCUAGUUGGUGGGGUAAAGGCCUACCAAGGCGAGAUCAGUAGCUGGUCUGAGAGGAUGAUCAGCCACACUGGGACUGAGACACGGCCCAGACUCCUACGGGAGGCAGCAGUGGGGAAUAUUGGACAAUGGGCGGAAGCCGUGAUCCAGCCAUGCCGCGUGAGUGAUGAAGGCC